GAUGAACGCUGACAGAAUGCUUAACACAUCAGCAAUGGAUUGGUGGCGGACGGGUGAGUAACGCGUAAAGAACUUGCCUCACAGCUAGGGACAAAAUUUGGAAACGAAUGCUAAUAACUAAUACUGUGAGAGAGCUUUGCGUCACCUUAGCUAGUUGGAGAGGUAACGGCUCACCAAGGCGAUGAUGGGUAGCCGGCCUGAGAGGGUGAUCGUCCACAAGGGGACUGAGACACGGCCCUUACUCCUACGGGAGGCAGCAGUGUGGAAUAUUUGACAAUGGACCAAAGUCUGAUCCAGCAAUUCUGUUUGCACGAUGAAGUUUUCGGAAUGUAAACUGCUUUCAGUUGGGAAGCGUUACCAACAGAAGAAGUGACGGCUAACUACGUGCCAGCAGCCGCGGUAAUAC
rnacentral:rRNA from 1 species